AAAGCAUGACUCUGCUCUGAUAGUCGCAUAUAUGACUAGUAAUUGAGUGCUAAGAGAAUGGAAAUACAGAAAAAUUCUUUCUUGAAUUCAAAAAUUGAAGUUAUUUUUAUAUGUGAAGAAACAAUAAUGAAAAUUAUUGACAAGAAGACCCUAAGAAUUUUUUUAAUUUAAUUAAAAAAUUUUUUAAUUAAAUUCUUUAAUUGGGGCGAUUAAUAAAAAUUAAAAACUUUGUUUUUUUAAAAAAGAACCAAUAAUAUUGGAAAUAUGAUAAAAAUACUCUAGGGAUAACAGCGUAAUAACUUUAGAUAGUUCAUAUAGACAAAGUAGUUUGCGACCUCGAUGUUGGAUUAGGAUACUUUUUUAAUGAAGAAGUUAAAAAAAGAAGUUUGUUCAACUUUUAAUUUCCUACUUGAUCUGAGUUCAGAACCGGG
rnacentral:rRNA from 1 species